GGUUACAAAACAGCAAGACCUCAUCAAGGCCCAACUACAAGAAACAUCCUGGGUUUCUUCCACUGUCAACAUCUGGUCAGACAGAUAGAUGAGAAGUUUCCUUCGUGUGACUGCCCAUGCAAUUAAAAUCAAUAAGUCUGCCAUCAACCUGAGGCCGUACCUGUUAAGCUGUAGCAGAUUCACAGGUUCCCACACAGAUGAGAAUAUCAGCGAGGCGUUUGAAACCAUCUGUGGCGAAUAUGUAAUAAAGAACAAAGUUGACUACAUUAUAUGAUUAUAUGUGACAAUACAUCGAAUAUGAAGAAAGCGUUCCUAUAUGCUUCCUGUAUGGUUCCCUAGAACCACUGAUGAUGAUGCAGGACCUACUAGUGCUGAUGGCCUUGAUGAUGACAGUUUAUGGGAAGAGCUCUAGGAAGAAUACCACCAAGAUGUAGAUAUGACACUGACCAGGAACUGCCAGAAGUAGCGCCUGCAAUGUUUUACACACAUCCUGCAACUGAUGGUGUCAGAUGGGCUGAAGGAAACAAAAGCAAUCAACCUCGCCAUGAGUAAAGCUUAAAAAUUAUACACCUUACUGCAUUCCAGUUGCUUCUUUAAAGAAGCUUUUGAAAAUGUGUUUGGGACUAACAAAUGGAUUCCUGCCCUUAACUGCACCAGAUAGAACUCAACCCUAAGACACAUUAAAGCUAUACUAUGUCUCGACCAUCAGGCAUUGUGCAAUAUCCUGGAAGAACAAGCACAUAAAGAGGUAGUUUUCAGCAGCAGAGAAUGCAGUCAAUUGCAAGAACUAGUCACCAUCUUGGAACCCUUCUUUAAAGCAACCAACUUUAUGCAAGGAGAACAGGUUGUCACCAUAAGCCCUGUCCUGCUCUGUGUGUUGUUGUUAAGUCAUCAUCUGCAUGAUAUGUUAUCAGUGUUCGGUAUCUAAACAGCCUAAUCAGAGACCUCAAAGACUCACCGUGGAAAAGAUUCCAAGAAAUCUUUGUCACUACACAAAUGACGGAAUCCACACAGGAAAUUGCCAAUCUACCAUUUGGUGAUCCCAUUUGUCUCUUGUCAGCAGCACUUGGUCCAGCAUUCUGCAUAAUAUGGAUCGAACACGAUGUCUUGGCAUAAGAAGAGAUAUUCAUUAUGUAGAUUUGAUCAUGUCCCAGGCUAGCAGAGUACUGGUAGAAAACGACACAAUAGCGAGGAGAAAAACAUUCCACCCCAGCAGUUCCCUCGACUUUUUACCGUGUACAAAAGGAGCAGACACUGGGGUGGGGCUCCUAAGACAUCUGUAUCUUCCCAACUCAGCAGAUACUUCGAGAUGUCCCAAGAAUUUCCUGAAGGAAGUCCCAAUGCAAGUCUUCACUUCUUGUUGGUCAACAAGAAUAACCUCUCCAGGUUGUUUCCUGGGGGCUAUGAGAGUGCUAGCUGUCCCUGCUUCUAGUUCUCUCAUUGAACGAGUGUUCAGCCAUGGAGGCAUCAUAAUGCGCCCUCAUAGCGCGAAGCUUAAUGACAAAAUGCUGUUUCACCUGAUAUUUCUAAAGUGUAAUGGUUUGUACAGAUAAAUUAUAUACUCUGAGUGCCUUCUAGUCAUUGACGCCACACACUAUGAUGCAGAUAUUAAGCACAACCACACUGCUUGGAGACCUUAUAGUGAAGCUGGUCCAAAAUAAAAGAUAAUUCACACUUCCUUUACCAACCUGUCUGAUUCAAUUGAAUUUCCACUGCCAUGGAUUGUUGCAUGUGUGGCACAAAUAGUAUGCCAUGUCUUGGCAUGACAUCAGAUUCAAAUGAUAUCCAGCUUAUUGCAUUUAUGUAUAUUGGAAAAGGUCCCCUCCAAACAAACUAUUACUAAGCCUGUGUAGAAACAAACUGAGGGUAUAUUAUUUUGGCUUUUAUAACCAAUUAACAAAAAAGCACAGUGCAGUUUCUUCCUUAUAGAACAUUUUGCUAGUCCACAAACACAUUUUAUCAUUAUGACUUGACUUGAGACUUGCAGGAAAUGAUUGACUUGUCUUGAGACGUGACCUUAAUGACUUGCGACUUAAUUUAAAUUUGGACAAAAAACGACUUGUUACCAGCUGUGCUAAAUAUAGGUAUAAGUGUUACCUCGAAAAAAGUAAGAUACACAUUAGCAUGAAGUGGUCUCAAUGGACGUGUAGCUGUCAGAAAAUCGCUGCUGAAAAGAGGUAACCAUGCCUAAAACAUGAAAGUGAAUCAAACCACAGUGGAAGGAGCAAAGUUUUUGAUGUGUACUCUUUAAAGAUUAAUUCAAAUUUGAAUUGACUGUCCACAAUGAACAACAGUGUAUUCGAUGGCGAAGAGAAUAAUGGUAUCAUAAUUAAUGUAAAA